rnacentral:rRNA from 1 species
UACGAAGGGGGCUAGCGUUGCUCGGAAUACUGGGCGUAAAGCGUGCGCAGGCGGUUAUUCAAGACAGAUGUGAAAUCCCCGGGCUCAACCUGGGAACUGCAUUUGUGACUGGAUGACUAGAGUACGGCAGAGGGGAGUGGAAUUCCGCGUGUAGCAGUGAAAUGCGUAGAUAUGCGGAGGAACACCGAUGGCGAAGGCAAUCCCCUGGGCCUGGUACUGACGCUCAUGCACGAAAGCGUGGGGAGCGAAACAAGG